rnacentral:tRNA from 1 species
GGAGGUAUAGCUCAGUGUUAGAGUGUACGCCUAGCAUGCACAAGGUCCUGGGGUCAAUCCCCAAUAGCUCCA